rnacentral:ncRNA from 1 species
UUCGUGCGCGAUCGGCACGAUUCUGUACGACCGCCGUUCAACGGUCAGCUCAGAACUGGCACGGACAAGGGGAAUCCGACUGUCUAAUUAAAACAAAGCAUUGCGAUGGCCCUCGCGGGUGUUGACGCAAUGUGAUUUCUGCCCAGUGCUCUGAAUGUCAACGUGAAGAAAUUCAAGCAAGCGCGGGUAAACGGCGGGAGUAACUAUGAUAUGCGACUGAGGGAGGGGCAUGCUUGCGACUGCGGGGCGGUUGAGGAGGAUAGGGACCAUGUCCUGUGGGAGUGUCCUCUCUAUGACGAAAUCCGGGGCAGGAUGCUCGAUGGAAUCUCGCGGUCUGAGGUGGGCCCAGUUUACCACGCGGACCUGGUCAGGGACGAGAAAAAUUUUCGGCUCUUGCGCGAGUUCGCGCAUACAUGGCACACGGCGCGCACUGCGCGCGAAUCACGAGGACUGCCUGGCGACGAAGAAUGUGGGUGAUGUUAGCAGCCCCAGAACGGGGAGAAUGCUAGUGGAGUGAAGGGGACGGUGUUAGUUUGUAGAACCGAUCGGUACCUUGGUGCCGUGAAGUUCAUGCUUCGGUCCUAAUAACCGCAAGGUUGGUGGGACCAUGGGAGGUGGUGGGAAAUGUCCCUAUCUACUAUCUAGCGAAACCACAGCCAAGGGAACGGGCUUGGGAGAAUCAGCGGGGAAAGAAGACCCUGUUGAGCUUGACUCUAGUCUGGCAUUGUAAGGAGACAUGAGAGGUGUAGCAUAAGUGGGAGAUCGUUUCGCGCGAUCGUCGCUGAAAAACCACUACUUUCAUUGUUUCAUUACUUACUCGGUUGGGCGGAAGCGGUGCGCGGUCGAUAAUAUCGGCGGGCGCACGGUGUUUCGUUCCAAGCGUGCAGAGUGGUGACGUGGCGGAAACGCUCGUCGCCGUUUAAAACUCCCGCGUGAUCCGGUUCGAGGACACUGCCAGGCGGGGAGUUUGACUGGGGCGGUACAUCUGUCAAAGAAUAACGCAGGUGUCCUAAGGCCAGCUCAGCGAGGACAGAAACCUCGCGUGGAGCAAAAGGGCAAAAGCUGGCUUGAUCCAGAUGUUCAGUACGCAUAGGGACUGCGAAAGCACGGCCUAUCGAUCCUUUAGUAUAAAGAGUUUUUAGCAAGAGGUGC